AUGGGGCCUUCACAUUGACUAUUGGCUGUAGUGCGGAUGGGGCCUUCACAUUGACUAUUGGCUGUAGUGCGGAUGGGGCCUUCACAUUGAUUAUUGGCUGAAGUGUUGAUACUAAAUACUAUACUUGAAGUUGGCCCCCAGGAAGGCAUCAGUGAUGGGACUGGGGUGGUCCCUUCACUAUGUCUCUAUCGCCCCUUUAAUGCAAAGAUCCAUUCAAUUGUAUAAGUCACCAUUCGCCCUGUUUUUGCAUAUCUGUUGUCAUGAUGAUGAUGAUGAUGUCAUAAAGUAUUGUCUACAUUUGUUCAUGCAUUCCAAGCUUCACCCUGUAUAGCUUCUAACCCCAAGCCAUAAGACUGAAACAUUACUGCCAAAUAAUUACUCAAUGCAUACCCAGACUACAUGGUCCUCUUUUUCCAUACACCCUAUAGUAGGGCUUAAUACGCACACUUAUUCACACACAACAAGCACACACAUGCAUACUGAUGCAACCUUUACAAACAGUUCCUGUUUCUAUUGUGUUCCAGCGUUCCUCCCACUGACAGUCUGCACCUGUGGUUUACAAAGCAUGUUUAAAGUAACAUUUCAUUUCAAGGCCCCCACCUGGGAAUCAUUAAAGUUGCUGUCACAUUUUCUGGAUGAAAACCCCGCGGCUGAAGGAUAACUGGUCUGGCUAUGCAUCUGAAGGAAGAUGUAGACCAAGGGAAGGAAAGAUAGACAAAGGGAAAUACUGUUGGAGAACCUGCUUUGCUAAGAGAAAAAUCACCAUUCAGCAGGACAAUAAUGCCAAGCAUGAGGCCAAAGCAACAUCGGGGGUGUCUCAUGAAGCUGAUAUUCAUCCUGUGAACAUGAAGCUGAUAUACAGAGAUACAGUCAAAGUCCUGAUCUCAGUCCCAUUGAGAAUAGGUGGAACUAGUUGAAUAAUUGUUGUCCACAAGUGUCCACCUACCAAGUUUAUAUUAUAAGUCCAUAGAAAGCGUGACACAAGUUGUUACACACUUACCAAAAUACUUUGCCGUUAUUGCAGAGAAAAUGUGGCAUUCAAAAAUAUUACUGUGUGGGGGUUGAAUAUUUACGUAAGCAAGAUGUACCAGUUUUGUUGAUUUUUCUUACAAAUAUUUCCUAACAUUGAUUUUGAGUGUCAGAGUUUUAAAUAAAAUAUUUACCAUUUGUAAUUCAGGCAUUUGAGAGAAUUGGCCAGGAGUCUAACUACCUGACUAAUUGCAAGGCACUAUGUCACCUGAAUGUCAUCUGCAUGGCACUUGAAUGGCAUAUGAUUGGCACCUGCAUUGUUUAUCAGCUUGAUUUUACACUCACAAAAUCAUAUGAAUCAGACCAUUAAGAGUGACACCAUUUUAAUAGAAUGACCCAGUCAUAGCAAGUAAGACUACUGCUGACCAAUAGAAAUGAGCAUAUUUAAUGAGUAAAUAUGGA
ensembl:lncRNA